rnacentral:rRNA from 1 species
GACGAACGCUGGCGGCGUGCUUAACACAUGCAAGUCGAACGGAAAGGCCUGCUUUCCCUUGUGGAUUGCGGGUACUCGAGUGGCGAACGGGUGAGUAACACGUGAGUGAUCUGCCCCCAACUUGGGUAUAAGCCUGGGAAACUGGGUCUAAUUCCCGAUAGGACUGCAGGGUGGUGCCUGUGGUGGAAAACGAUUUUCUAGUGGUUGGGGAUGAGCUCGCGGCCUAUCAGCUUGUUGGUGGGGUAAUGGCCUACCAAGGCGGCGACGGGUAGCCGGCCUGAGAGGGUGGACGGCCACAUUGGGACUGAGAUAUGGCCCAGACUCCUACGGGAGGCAGCAGUGGGGAAUAUUGCACAAUGGGCGGAAGCUUGAUGCAGCGACGCCGCGUGGGGGAUGACGGCCUUCGGGUUGUAAACUCCUUUCGACCGCGAGGAAGCCACCUGGUUGGAAGGGUGGUGACGGUAGUGGUAGAAGAAGCACCGGCUAACUACGU